rnacentral:tRNA from 1 species
AGAAACUUAGGCUAACCAGACCUUGGGCCUUCAAAGCCC